CGUGCACUAAAUAAAGAUCUUCCCCCAGUUAACGGACAUGUGAAGUACAAGCAUGGCAUUACACAGCUUCAGCUGCCAGACAAAUAUUAUACCCAGAAAUAUUUUUAUCCUACAAGACCAUUUGAGUUUGAGUUAUGAGAACGACUCAAGGUUGGUGUAUUCCUGCAAUGACCGUGCGCAGGUCACAGCCGAUAUAAAGGGAACAUAAGAAUAUUAUGUGCGUGCAGCCAACAAUUACAUAAGAAGAGGUGAAACUGUGCCACCAGUUCUACCAAAAACAGUUAUAUGGGAUUAUCCACUAAACAGGGAUCUAGAGCACUGACAUAGGAUUUGUGUCUUUUCGGCCACAAUGGACAAUUUGAGUAUGUUCACCUAUUUCACCCAUUCACCUAUUUUCCCAAAAAUCGCAUGUGGGAUUUAACUCACAGGUCAGCAGGAAAAAGAUGCAAACAUU